rnacentral:rRNA from 1 species
GAUGAACGCUAGCGGCAGGCCUAACACAUGCAAGUCGAGGGCCCAGCAAUGGGAGCGGCAGACGGGUGAGUAACGCGUGGGGAUCUACCCAUUGGUACGGAAUAACCCAGGGAAACUUGGAUUAAUACCGUAUAAGCCCUUCGGGGGAAAGAUUUAUCGCCAAUGGAUGAACCCGCGUCGGAUUAGCUAGUUGGUGAGGUAAAGGCUCACCAAGGCGACGAUCCGUAGCUGGUCUGAGAGGAUGAUCAGCCACACUGGGACUGAGACACGGCCCAGACUCCUACGGGAGGCAGCAGUGGGGAAUAUUGGACAAUGGGCGCAAGCCUGAUCCAGCCAUGCCGCGUGAGUGAUGAAGGCCUUAGGGUUGUAAAGCUCUUUCGCCGGUGAAGAUAAUGACGGUAACCGGAGAAGAAGCCCCGGCUAACUUCGUGCCAGCCGCCGCAGUAAAAC